rnacentral:rRNA from 1 species
AUGACGUCCCUGUCGCGGACGCUCUCCCGGGGUGGCCCGAUGCAGCCGUCGGGGCCUCACCGGAUUCUGAGGGCGCAGACCACCGUCAACCUCGGUGAGCCCAUCUUCGACAGUGAGGUGGUGCCGUCGUCGCUCGUGGAGAUCGCGCCCAUCCUCCGUGUCGCCAACGAGGUCGAGGCGGUCAACCCCUGCGUCACCUACCUCUCGCACGGAGGCAGACACAUUGGUCACCUGGAAGGCAGAGCAGGAGCAGCUGCGCAAGGCGGAGCUCGGGAGGACGCCGCGCCCAGCGGACCGUGGGACGGCGUGCCUUGGGGGGCGGUGGGGUGGCGCGUCGCGGGUGCCGGCAAGUGCGGCUGCAAGUGGCUUCUAAGGUCUGACCACCUGCAAUAA